rnacentral:rRNA from 1 species
CACGUAGGGGGCGAGCGUUGUCCGGAUUUAUUGGGCGUAAAGAGCUCGUAGGCGGCUCAGUAAGUCAGGUGUGAAAACUCCAGGCUCAACCUGGAGACGCCACUUGAUACUGCUGUGGCUAGAGUCCGGUAGGGGAGCAUGGAAUUCCUGGUGUAGCGGUGAAAUGCGCAGAUAGUCAGGAAGAACACCAAUGGCGAAGGCGGGUCUCUGGGCCGAGUACUGACGCUGGAGGAGCGAAAGCGUCGGGGAGCGAACAGG